rnacentral:lncRNA from 10 species
CUGGAUUUGAACUCCUGGACUCAAGCAAUUCUCUUGCCUCAGUCGCCAAAGUAGCUGGAACUACAGGCAUAUGCCAAUGUGCCUGGCUAUCUAGUGAUGAUUUUAACAUCAACCAAUGAGAAUUAGGCAAGCUUGCAUUCUUCAUUUGCAUAGAAGACUGGAGUGGGAACCUGGGAAGAAACUUUUUUUUUUUUUAAUAAAGGACAACCCCUCUCUUUGUUCUGACAGAGUGUACCUUUGUUUUGUUAUAGGUUACAUCUCCCCAAUUUGCAAGCUGUUCAUGGAAAUAAAGUCUUUCUCAACCUAAUAUUUCUUUCUCAGUAGUUUUGUUAACAUUUCUUGGUGUCAGAAGAGGGAACUGAAGCAAUCCUUGAUCCUCCUAUCGAUGCCAUUCUGAACCCAUGCAUUGGUACCUGUAAGAGCCCCUUGAACUCAGUUGUCUUCCUGGUGGCACCAGGAGAUCUCAGGUAAAUGGCUCUAGUUGCUCAACUAACCACUGCCCUGCCAUGAGGAUCCCAGUGUGGGACUAGAUGGGCCCAGAGAAGGAAGCCGACCACUCUGGCACCAUGAUGGGACAUAACCCACCACCAAUCACCAGAGCUGUCUGAUGACAGGUUUUGAUCAAAAGCAGGAACUGUCUACUUUGAAAAAGCCAGUUCUUCAAGAUUGAUCGUGAAUGAUUAACUGAGCCUAAAUUCAAAUGGACCCAAGCGGCCAUUUACUGACUAAAGGUUAAACAUGUACUCUGUACUCCUGGAAAAACCACACACUCCAUAACUUUGGGACACUCAUAUCUGUCCCUUUUUAUGCUGCCUGAAUCAAUGGCUGCCAACACCUGGACCCAACCAAUAAACUAUAACCUCUGGUCAAUCUUAACAUCAACCAGUAAGAACUAAGCAAGUUUGCAACCCUCAUUUGCAUAGCAUACUGGAGUGGAAGCCUGGGAAAAAACUUUUUCUAUAAAGGACAACCCCUUUCUUUGUUCCAGUUGAGUGUACCUUUGUUGUAUUGGAGGCUGCAUCUCCCUGGUUUGCAAACUGCUCACAGAAAUAAAGUGUCUCUUAAUCUAAUG